rnacentral:rRNA from 1 species
AUUGAACGCUGGCGGCAGGCCUAACACAUGCAAGUCGAGCGGUAGAGAGAAGCUUGCUUCUCUUGAGAGCGGCGGACGGGUGAGUAAUGCCUAGGAAUCUGCCUGGUAGUGGGGGAUAACGUUCGGAAACGGACGCUAAUACCGCAUACGUCCUACGGGAGAAAGCAGGGGACCUUCGGGCCUUGCGCUAUCAGAUGAGCCUAGGUCGGAUUAGCUAGUUGGUGGGGUAAUGGCUCACCAAGGCGACGAUCCGUAACUGGUCUGAGAGGAUGAUCAGUCAAACUGAAAAUGAGAAACGGCCCAGACCCCUACGGGGGGCAGCGGGGGGGAAUAUUGGAAAAGGGGCGAAAGCCUUAUCCAGCCAUGCCGGGGGUGUGAAGAAGGUUUUCGGUUUGUAAAGCAUUUUAAGUUGGGGGGAAGGGCAGUAAAUUAAUACUUUGCUUUUUUGACGUUACCGAAAGAAUAAGCACCGGCUAACUCUGU